CAUGUUUCUACCCACCUUGUUGUCACAGAUGGGUCUGGGUCUGAAACGUGCAGCAGAGGACGUCACCCAGCCACUGCUUCAUUGUCAGGGCUCGUCUGUGCCUGCAUGACCCACAUACCUCUGGGUCAUCUCGAGACCUAUCAGGCAGAUCGAGUUAUUCAAGACAUAAAGAAAUGGCAAAAUAGCAGAGUGUAGUGAAGGUAAAUGGAAAGGCAGUGGAAAAGCCUGGCAAACGCAGUAGAAGUUUUUGUGCUUUUUUUUUCUAAAGAAGGCAAGCGUAAUCCUCAUCUUUAAGCCAUCCUUUAAUAUCCUACUUCGUUUUACACUGGAAUUAGAAAAUCUUUUCCAUUUGUUUUAAUUAUCUGCUGACUUUAAUUCUGCCUUUGAAAAACGUUUUUGCUAUGACAACCCCAGCUAUCGUGAAAUGCUAACCAUUGCUGCUGUGAUCACCACCGCUGAAAAACUGAGAGCUGUACUAAGAAGCUGUGCCAGUCAGCAGGUAUUUCUGUGUGUGUCACAGUAAAUCUCUGCGUUAGGAUGUUGUUUCCUGUGUUAAGCCAGUGCUCAGUGCCUUCUGGAGGAGGAACCAACAUGUUGCAGUAGGCUGGAGGUGCUGAACGUCUCGUGUCUUCUUUGGAACAGCUGAUCACUUAUCAGCUUGAUGCUUUAAAAAAAAAGUAUUAAAAAGCCACUUGAAUUCUCCAUCUUCCUUUGAGGCUUCUUCUCA
ensembl:lncRNA